AAUCUAUGGGAGAUAACUGUGAUAUCAUACAACAAGCAUUUGCAUGAAUUUGUUAUUUAUAGGAACGUGCAAUAUGAGGUCUAAUUUUAGAAGCACUAUGCCUUGAAGGAAUCUCCGAUCUUCGGCAAAGGAUCGAUAAUGCGGUUGAUAGCUACUUUCUAAUUAGUUAGUCAGACUGUUCAAUCAUUUGAUAAGGUCUCAUUGAACUAGCCUUCUAGUAUCAACUAGUUUAUUGAUGGGUGAGGAUAGUACCUACCAACUGCAACCACUGUUCGAAUUGGAUCAAUACUUUGGAAGUCUUUUGAUUUGAAUUCAAUAUAUUUAGUGAAUUACAGCAGGCCUAUGAUGACUGUAUAACACAGCGGCUCACUUUGGAUAUGGUAAUAACCAGUUGUUUCAGGUUGCACUGAGCUAGUUGAAAUCUACUAACCAAGCUAUCAGGAAAACUUUGAAAACUGAAUGGAAAGUGAAAAAUAAAAGGAUACGGUGAUGCAGGAAAAAGAAAAAGGAAAACCAAUU